UGGUAGCACGAAUUCACGAACUGCUACAAAAAAUACCAAAAUCGGAUCACAACUCAAUCGUAGCCUUAAAUUCGUGCCAUGAAAAUUUUUAUUAAGUUAAAACAAAAAAAAUCAGUUUUGUAGCUGAAAUGUUAUUUUGGAGGGAAAAACACUUAACGAAAUUUCACAUUCCCACCAAAAAUUUAUGUUUUCGUAGAAAUUGUUAUUUUUUUGCCCAAGUCAUUUUCAUUUUACAAAGAAAAAAAACACAAAUUCAUUUUCUCUAUCAUCAUCUUCAUUGUUUAUUUGAAUCAAUCUAUCCAUUCCGAUUGAAGAAACACAUAUGGAUUGGUCUUGUUCAAAGUCGAACUCAGGAACCCUAAUCUGUCAAGCCGCUGGACUCUUCUUCUUCGUCAUACCCAAACUCCUCCAUACACGGCGAAUUGGCUCCUUCACCUUCCUCCGCUGCUUUUCACCACCAUCACAUUUGCCGCUUCUUCUUCAUAUUCCCUUUGUUUUAUCAAUCUCAAUUGCACAGAAGUCAAAACUCUAGAGGUCAUCGACCUAUAUCCUUGGACAAGGUAUGGCUCAGCGUGAAGACGUUUAUGACCUAGAUAGCCACUAGAUUCCAGGUUUUCUUCUACUCCAAAGCUCUAGUUUCAAUUGGGUCUAUAAAAAUCUCCCUAUUUUGUUGUUUAGUCACACUUGUUCAGUUUUCACGAGUUUCUUUUGUUUGAUUUCGCUGACAAAACCCCCUUGCUUUUGUUCAAUCGAUUUCGGCAUUACUGUUUAUGUUCAUUUCUAUUAAAAAUCUCUCCUUUCUGUUGUUUCCUCUUGACAAAACUCCACCUUGAUUUUGUUCACUUACUUUUGUAUUUGUUUACGGUAUGACCAGAACUGGAUUGUUUAUGUUGGAUUAGCAGAAAAAGGUUUGUCUUUUUGGUGUGUGAUUCUGAUUGUUUCUCUUUUAUUGAUUUAUGCAACUAGGAACUGAGUUCUUAUAUGAAUUUUCUGUGAAAAGUUUUACUAUUUUAAUGAUGCCUCAAGGAGUUGUACCAGUUCAGGGAUGGACCCCUACACCGUAAGUUGUGUCAUAAGGGUCGGCUCGGCUCAGUUUCUCCUUCAGGUACCGGAACUGAUCACAACAACUACAGAAACUUGCAGCAAAACGAGUCAGGCUAAUCUGUCCUCUUGGCGGGAUCUAUGCAUUGUUCUUCCUUGAAGGUUUGAAAGUCAUCACACGAGAAGAUGAGAACGGAAACGUCAAACUUGAGUGUCCCGCCAUUAGUAAACAACAGUUUGCAGCUGGUAGAUUUCACAUUGACUCACGGAUGAAAGCUACUAAAGAUGCUGAUCGCAUUACUAGGCUUGAUGUUAUUCGUAUUAUCUAUCAAUGAGCCUACUGCUACUUCUGUGGUUUAUGCUUUUGAAAGGAAAAGCAAUUAAAUAAUUCUUGUCUUUGAUCUUGGUGGUGGUACCUUUGAUGUCUCUGGUACUCAAUUGCAAUGUAUCUCAAAUGGUGACAAAAAGAAAAAGAAAAAAUAUCUAAUUUGGGGUAUAUGAUUAAAUUGCAAUGUAUAAAUGAUAAUUAAACUUUUAGAUUAAAUUUAAUAUUUGAAAUUAAAUAACGAACAAUAGAGUUUAAGAUUUUUAGUUAGCUUUGGGUAUGAUUAAUUUGGGGUUUAAACCCUUACCCUAAACAUAAACAUUAAAAUUUCAAUAUUUUCAUAAUAUAAUUUCAAUCUUAAAUUUAAAUUUAAAAUUUAAUAAUUUUAAAAAUAGAAUCCCAAAUUUAAAUUCUAAACCUCAAACAUUAAAUCUUAAAUCUAUACCCUAAAUAUAAUACCCUAAAUCCCAAACUUAAAUCUUACAUACAAAGUCGUAAAUCUAUUUUUUAAUUUAUAAUAUAAACUUUAAACUUAUAUUCCAAAUAUAUUCUAAAACUCAAAUCAUACACUAAAUUAUAAAUCUUAACCCUAAACCCUAAACCACAUACUUCAUAUUAACCUACAUCAUAAAUCCUAAUUUAAAAUUUUCAAAAAUUUAAAUUGUACUCUAAUUUCUAACAUAUACACUAUAACUGUGAACUCUAAAUACAAAAUCUAAAUUUUAAAUUUAAUCAAACACAUACACUAUAAAUGCCAAACACCAAACCCUACAUCAAACCCUAUUCUUCAAAUUUAUACUCAAACUCUUAAUCAUUUUAUAAUAAUUCUUAAUUCUUUUUAAAGAAAAUCAUAAUUAUAUAUCAUAAUUGAUAUUUCUGCAAUUACUACUUGUAAUUACUGAAAUUAAACAUCACUUAAUCUUCAAACAUUAGUCUUUGUAAACAUAUAAAAUGAUAUGUCAAACUUAAUAAGAUUAAAUAAAAUAAAAUAAAAAAGAAAGAAUUGUGUGGUAUAAUCUCUAUCUCACCUCCUUUUACGUUAUUCUUCUUUUUUUAAUAGCAAUCCUAGUGAUUCUUUUCUAUUGGCUAAUACAAGAAAGUGGGGAUAACUUCCUUUUUAACCUUAACCGUUGAUGAAUUUAAUCUAAGGGACAUAAAUAUUUGCUUCUUUUUUUAAUGAUUUUCUCUCCUUCUCGAUCUCUGCUUUUUUUUUUUGAUCAACAAUCUCUGCUCCUCUCCUCUUCUACCGUCAUAAACCUGAAAAAAAAAUGAAAGCUCCAUCUUUUCUUCUUCUCUGGAAUAAACCCUAAGAAAACCCAGAAAAAUUCUCCAUCUUUUACGAAGGACUCCACUUCUCACCUCAUUGGCAGCUCAAACGAAAUCUCUCCUUUAUUUCCGAAUUUGUAAUGCGGAGGACAUGAGAUUUUAUGGAGGAGACAGAAGAUUUGGCAGAGGAAAAGGAGGCGCGACAAGCAGAUCGAACGGUGGCUCCAACACCAUAUUGAAUCCUUUCUUCAGCCAUAGCAUCCAGAGCCGGUUGAGGCGUCGGUGUAGAAGAAGUGGUAUGUGACUGAAUGAUGGUGACGUUGAAGCGCUGUGGCGACGGAGACUAAGGCGCAGCUGAUAUGUGGGGCUUAGGUUUAGGUUUUGUUAGUUAGGUUUUGGUUAAUUAGGUUUGGUUUAAUGUGUUUUAAUUAGUUUUGGUUUAAUGUGUUCUGGUGUAUUUAAUUUUUUAAUUCUGGUUUAGUGUUACAUUUUUUUGUAAUUUAAUUUUAAUUAAUAAAUAAAAUUUUAUUUUUAA